UUCACCUCAGAUCAGUGUUGCUGUAAUUCCUGAUCUAUGGAAAGAAUAAUUGAAUGAGUGAGCAACGCCACAACUACAGGGCCUGUUCUUUCUCUUCUCAUAAUUUAACUGGAUUAUCUGUUGGAUUUGUUUCUUCCUCUGACUGCUUUCUCCAUACCAACAACUACGACUGGUCUUCAGCUGCGCUCCCCGGUCUGCUGUAUUCUCCAGUCCAGAGCUUCACUGCCCAGUGUCUGAAU